CCUAUAAGACUGGGAUAACUUCGGGAAACCGGGGCUAAUGCCGGAUAAUAUUUAGAACCGCAUGGUUCUAAAGUGAAAGAUGGUUUUGCUAUCACUUAUAGAUGGACCCGCGCCGUAUUAGCUAGUUGGUGGGGUAAUGGCUUACCAAGGCAACGAUACGUAGCCGACCUGAGAGGGUGAUCGGCCACACUGGAACUGAGACACGGUCCAGACUCCUACGGGAGGCAGCAGUAGGGAAUCUUCCGCAAUGGGCGAAAGCCUGACGGAGCAACGCCGCGUGAGUGAUGAAGGUCUUCGGAUCGUAAAACUCUGUUAUUAGGGAAGAACAAAUGUGUAAGUAACUGUGCACGUCUUGACGGUACCUAAUCAGAAAGCCACGGCUAACUACGUGCCAGCAGCCGCGGUAAUACGUAGGUGGCAAGCGUUAUCCGGAAUUAUUGGGCGUAAAGCGCGCGUAGGCGGUUUCUUAAGUCUGAUGUGAAAGCCCACGGCUCAACCGUGGAGGGUCAUUGGAAACUGGGAAACUUGAGUGCAGAAGAGGAAAGUGGAAUUCCAUGUGUAGCGGUGAAAUGCGCAGAGAUAUGGAGGAACACCAGUGGCGAAGGCGACUUUCUGGUCUGUAACUGACGCUGAUGUGCGAAAGCGUGGGGAUCAAACAGGAUUAGAUACCCUGGUAGUCCACGCCGUAAACGAUGAGUGCUAAGUGUUAGGGGGUUUCCGCCCCUUAGUGCUGCAGCUAACGCAUUAAGCACUCCGCCUGGGGAGUACGACCGCAAGGUUGAAACUCAA
rnacentral:rRNA from 1 species